rnacentral:rRNA from 1 species
ACAUAGGUUGCUUGCAACCUGAUGACGAGUGGCGCACGGGUGCGGAACGCGUAUGGAACCUGCCCCUGUCAGGGGAAUAGCCCAUGGAAACGUGGAUUAAUGCCCCAUGGUACCUCUUUAUUGCAUGAUAGGGAGGUUAAAGAUUUAUCGGACAGGGAUGGCCAUGCGUACCAUUAGCUAGUUGGUAGGGUAACGGCCUACCAAUGCAACGAUGGUUAGGGGCCCUGAGAGGGGGAUCCCCCACACUGGCACUGAGACACGGACCAGACUCCUACGGGAGGCAGCAGUGAGGAAUAUUGGACAAUGGUCGGAAGACUGAUCCAGCCAUGCCGCGUGCAGGAUGACGGCCCUAUGGGUUGUAAACUGCUUUUGUACGGGAAGAAACCCAGGUACGUGUACCUGGUUGACGGUACCGUAAGAAUAAGGACCGGCUAACUCCGUGCCAGCAGCCGCGGUAAUACGGAGGGUCCGAGCGUUAUCCGGAAUCAUUGGGUUUAAAGGGUCCGUAGGCGGGCCUGUAAGUCAGAGGUGAAAGGCCACGGCUCAACCGUGGGACUGCCUUUGAUACUGCAGGUCUUGAGUCAUGGUGGGGUUGCCGGAACAUGUGGUGUAGCGGUGAAAUGCAUAGAUAUCACAUAGAACACCGAUCGCGAAGGCAGGUGGCCAACCAUGUACUGACGCUGAUGGACGAAAGCGUGGGGAGCGAACGGGAUUAGAUACCCCGGUAGUCCACGCCGUAAACGAUGGACACUAGCUGUGGGGGUCUUCGGACUCCGUGGCCAAGCGAAAGUGAUAAGUGUCCCACCUGGGGAGUACGUUCGCAAG